rnacentral:rRNA from 1 species
CCUACGGGAGGCAGCAGUAAGGAAUAUUGGUCAAUGGAGGCAACUCUGAACCAGCCAUGCCGCGUGCAGGAAGAAGGCCCUAUGGGUCGUAAACUGCUUUUGUACCAGAGAAAACCCGAGUACGUGUACUCGGUUGAUAGUAUGGUAAGAAUAAGCAUCGGCUAACUUCGUGCCAGCAGCCGCGGUAAGACGAAGGAUGCAAGCGUUAUCCGGAUUCAUUGGGUUUAAAGGGUGCGUAGGCGGACUGAUAAGUCAGUGGUGAAAUCUCUCGGCUUAACCGAGAAACUGCCAUUGAUACUGUUAGUCUAGAGUAUAGAUGACGUUGGCGGAAUAUGACAUGUAGUGGUGAAAUACUUAGAUAUGUCAUAGAACACCGAUUGCGAAGGCAGCUAACGAAACUAUAACUGACGCUGAGGCACGAAAGUGCGGGGAUCAAACAGGAUUAGAUACCCUGGUAGUCCGCACCGUAAACGAUGAUUACUCGUUGUUGGCAAUAUGACCGUCAGCGACCAAGCGAAAGCGAUAAGUAAUCCACCUGGGGAGUACGCCGGCAACGGUGAAAACUCAAAGGAAAUUGACGG